UUGGCAGGCGCAUGCCUUACCAUGCAGUCGAACGGUAACAGGCCUUCGGGUGCUGACGAGUGGCGAACGGGUGAGUAAUGCAUCGGAACGUGCCCGGUCGUGGGGGAUAACGCAGCGAAAGCUGUGCUAAUACCGCAUACGAUCUGAGGAUGAAAGCGGGGGACCUUCGGGCCUCGCGCGGUCGGAGCGGCCGAUGUCGGAUUAGCUAGUUGGUGGGGUAAAGGCCUACCAAGGCGACGAUCCGUAGCUGGUCUGAGAGGACGACCAGCCACACUGGGACUGAGACACGGCCCAGACUCCUACGGGAGGCAGCAGUGGGGAAUUUUGGACAAUGGGCGCAAGCCUGAUCCAGCAAUGCCGCGUGCGGGAAGAAGGCCUUCGGGUUGUAAACCGCUUUUGGCAGGAACGAAAAGCUCUGGGCUAAUACCCUGGGGUGAUGACGGUACCUGCAGAAUAAGCACCGGCUAACUACGUGCCAGCAGCCGCGGUAAUACGUAGGGUGCGAGCGUUAAUCGGAAUUACUGGGCGUAAAGCGUGCGCAGGCGGUUGUGCAAGACAGGCGUGAAAUCCCCGGGCUUAACCUGGGAAUGGCGCUUGUGACUGCACGGCUGGAGUGCGGCAGAGGGGGAUGGAAUUCCGC
rnacentral:rRNA from 1 species